GACCGAUUAGGUGGCCUAGUGAUAGAACGUCCACCUUGGAUGUGGAAGGUCUCGGGUUCGAACCCCUGCAGAGUCA